GCCGUGGUGGCGGAACUGGUAGACGCGCACGCUUCAGAAGCGUGUUCCCACAAGGGAGUGUGGGUUCGACUCCCACUCACGGCACCA
rnacentral:tRNA from 1 species